AUGUAAACAGAAUGACUAUUUCAACCAGUUAACUGUAUCCUAACCCCCAAACCAAGUGAGUAAUUGAAAAUAUAUGUAUCGCGAGGGAAUAGGAACACAGUGCAUAGGUAGAUGGAGAGGUUGAGAGCUCUCUGGUUCUCAGUGAUUUAAAAAUUCAGGGACUGGGGCCGGGGAAGUGGGGAGUUGCUCAUCAGCGAGUGUAAAGUUUAAGUGAAGCUGGAUAAAUAAACUUGAGAGAUCUGCUCUGUAACAUUGUACCAAUAGUCAAUACAUAUUGUACACCUAAAAAAAUUUGUUAUGAAGGUAGAUCUUUUAAGUGUUCUUACCACGAUAAAAUAAAAUUUCAAAAAAAAUUCAGGAGUUCCCAUUGUGGUGCAUCGGAAACGAAUCCACCUACUAAGCAUGAGGUUUUGGGUUUGAUCCCUGGCCUCACUCAGUGUUUAAAGAUCCAGCGUUGCUGUGAGCUGUGGUGUAGGCCGGCAGCUGUAGCUCUGAUUUGACCCCUAGCCUGGGAACCUCCGUAUGCCGCCGGUGCACCCCUAAAAAGCAAAAAAAAAAAAAAAAAAAAAAAUUCAGUUUGAAAGUUUUAAAUCCUGGGGCAGGGCCCCCNNNNNNNCCCCCCCCCCCCAGGGUCAGACCCCUGUGCUCCUGUGUGGUGCCUGGGUCACUCCUGUUGGUGUGCAGUGCCGGCUAGCCCCGAUCUCUCCCUUUGCGGGAAGGGCUCUGAGCCCUCCGUCCUCGCAGUGCCUGUGGGGCAGGUGUCUGAGGAUGAGGACGCUGAAGCAGAAAGGUUGAGUACGUGGCACUGGGCAGUCUGGCCUUGGAGUGGGCACUUUUUUACUUGUAUUUUUUCAGCCACACCCUUGGCAUGUGGACGUUCCCAGGCCAGGAAUGGAAUCUGAGCUGCAGCUGCAGCCUAAGCCACAGCUGCGGCAACUCCAGGUCCUUAACCCACGGCGCCGCCUAGGACUCUGGAGCGGGCGUUCUUCCUCGCGCCUUGCAGACGUCGUUACAGACUGGCUUUUAUUUUUAACUUGUUCUCUGCUUUGAAAAAGUAGCUUAAUUAGGCAUAAUUUGCACACGGUAAGAUGCACCCACCUGAAGCGUACAGUCCUGAGAGUACUGGCAAAUGUCUGACAGCUCAGCUAAGACUCGGAAAAUGUCCGUCACCCUGCGGAGAGGCUGGACUGGACCCCCGGUGCCAGUGCAGCCUCUCUCCCUCCCUCGUGCAGCCAGUGAGGGUUAUUGACAGGAUUUGAUGAAAAAUUACUGUCUCGCUAACACUUUAGUUUGGUACGCUUCUUUUUCUUCUUUUUUCCUUUUUUUUCUGCCCCUUCUGGGUUUAAUUUAGCUUGUUUUAUGAUUCCAUUUUACUCUUUUAUUGACUUAUUAUUUAUACCUCUUAAAACAUUUUUAUGGCUAUUGUUUUUGGAUUUAACAGUGUGCGUUUUAAAGUAAUCCAGAGUUUACCUUCAAAUGAUGUGUUACUGCUUCCCAGUGUAUUGUAAGGACCUUACACACUAUAUUCCCAAUUCGUCUUUGUGCUUUUUUUUUUUCAUUGUAGAAUCAUACCCUUGGCAUAUGGAGGUUCACAGGCUAGGGGUCUAAUCAGAGCUGUUGCCACCGGCCUACGCCACAGCCACAGCAACUCCAGAUCUGAGCCGCGUCUUCAACCCACACCACAGCUCACAGCAGCGCCAGAUCCUUAAACCCACUGAGUGAGGCCAGGGAUUGAACUGGCAACCCCGCGGUUCCUAGUCGGAUUCGUUUCUGCUGCGCCAUGACGGGAAUGCCUCCGUUAUUUUUAAUGAUUCCUUUGCUGGGUAUAGAAAUUUGAGUGAAUAGGUUUUUAAAUGUUUUUAUCCCCCUCCCCUCCUUUUCAGUUUGGCUGACAUGGUUUUUUACAAGAAGCUUGCUUUUAAUUGUGUCUGUUCUUCUGUGUGUAAUGUGUCUCUUAUCCCUGACAGCCUUCAGAGGUUUCACUUUUUUGUUUUCAGCAGUUUGGCAGUGAUAUGACCAGGGUUUUUGUUGUUGUUUGUUUAUCCUGCUUGACGUUUUUUCUGAGCUUCUUGGAUCUGUGGUUUGGUGUCUGUCAUUAAUUUGGGAAAUUUUGGAAACAUUGUUUCUUCUGCUCUUUGUUCACCUCUUCUACUUACAGGUCUGGGAGGAUGUUUUAAAUUUUCUCCCUUCUGGGAUAUUCUGUCCAGCCCUCAUUCCUGCUCAUUUUUCUCUUUUUGCUUCAGUUGGGGAUUUUCUCUGACCUAUCUUAAGCAUCACGGAUUCCAUUUUCAUUUCUCGAGUUAAAUUACCCCCUGAUAUUUCAUGUUGUCCAUCUCUUCUGUUAGAGUUGUUAACAUGUUUUUUUUUUUGUUUGUUUUUUGUUUUUUUGUCUUUUUAGCUAUUUCUUGGGCCGCUCCCGCGGCAUAUGGAGGUUCCCAGGCUAGGGGCCGAAUCAGAGCUGUAGCUGUCGGCCUACGCCAGAGCCACAGCAAUGCGGGAUCCGAGCCACAUCUGCAACCUACACCACAGCUCACGGCAACGCCGGAUCAUUAACCCACUGAGCAAGGGCAGGGACCGAACCCACAACCCCAUGGUUCCUAGUCGGAUUCGUUAACCACUGCGCCACGAUGGGAACUCCAUGUUUUAACGACUAAAACAGAGUCACUUUAAAUUCCCUGUCAGGUACUCCCAAGCACCUGCUUCAUGUCUGAGUCUUGGUUUUUGGUCAUGCCCACAGCAUUUGGAUGUUCUGGGCCAGGGUCCAAUCCAAGCAGCACUGCCACGUAUGCCGCAGCUGUGGCAAUGCCAGAUCCUUAACCUGCUGUGCCAAGCUGGUCAUCAAACCCAUGCCUCAGCAGCAACCUGAGCCAUUGCAAAGACAAUGCCGGAUCCUUAGCCCACUGCUCCACAGUGGGAACUCCUGAGUUUUAUUUCGAUGAUUGCUUUGUCUCUUGGGAGUGUGGGGUUUUGUAAAAAAAAAAAAAAAAAAAAAAAAA
rnacentral:lncRNA from 1 species